GAGGUUUGAUGGAGACAACACAUUUAGGGAAUCCCAAAGUUGACCUAAAGUAAAUUCCAAGGAGAAAAUCUUCCUUGUGUUCAGAAUUUGCAGUAAUAAAUGUGAACACCAUAGCAGCUAUCUGAUGAUCAUGUAUGGUACUGAAACAGAA
ensembl:scaRNA small Cajal body-specific RNA 16